UGCCAGCCGCCGCGGUAAUACGGAGGGGGCAAGCGUUAAUCGGAAUUACUGGGCGUAAAGCGCGCGUAGGCGGCUUGUUAAGUCAGAUGUGAAAUCCCCGGGCUCAACCUGGGAACUGCAUCCGAUACUGGCGAGCUUGAGUACGGCAGAGGUUAGUGGAAUUCAAUGUGUAGCGGUGGAAUGCGUAGAUAUAUUGAGGAACACCAGUGGCGAAGGCGGCUAACUGGACCGGAACUGACGCUGAUGCACGAAAGCGUGGGUAGCAAACAGGAUUAGAUA
rnacentral:rRNA from 1 species